GCUGGGUGCAGUGGUACGCCUGUAAUUCCAGCUACUUGAGAAGCUGAAGCAGGAGGAUUGCUUAAACUCAGGAGUUUGAGGCCAGCCUGGGCAACUUAGUGAGACCUUGUCUCCA
rnacentral:sRNA from 1 species